AGCGAACGCUGGCGGCAGGCUUAACACAUGCAAGUCGAGCGGGCAUCCUUGUGGUGUCCGCGGCAGACGGGUGAGUAACGCGUGGGAACGUGCCCUUCGGUUCGGAAUAACUCAGGGAAACUUGAGCUAAUACCGGAUACGUGCGAGAGCAGAAAGGUUUAUCUGCCGAAGGAUCGGCCCGCGUCUGAUUAGCUAGUUGGUGAGGUUAUGGCUCACCAAGGCGACGAUCAGUAGCUGGUCUGAGAGGAUGAUCAGCCACACUGGGACUGAGACACGGCCCAGACUCCUCCGGAGGGCGGCGGUGGGGAUUAUGGGACAUGGGGGGAAACCCUGACCCGGCCAGGCGGCGGAGGUGAUGCCGGCUUUGGGGUGGUAAAGCUCUUUUCCCCGGGACGAUAAUGACGUAACCGGAGGAAUAAGCCCCGGCUACCUUCUG
rnacentral:rRNA from 1 species